CCGCAUACGGUUGAAAAUAAUAAAAUAGAAAAACCCUAUCAGAUCUUGAAAACCCCAUUUGCAUCCCGUGUCCAAACUUUCCCCUCUCUAAAUAAACUAUCUUCCCCAAAAUUCCCACCACCCCACCACCGCAUCUACGACCACCACCUACCACCGGCGUUCCCCAAGUAUGUGACGCCGCUCAGUUAAACCACCGGAGCAGCCACCUCCGCCGCCACCGCCGACAGACAGUGAGGUUAGUCUUAUUUUUUUUUUCUUUUUUGAUUUUCAAUCUCAUUUUAUCAUUAUUAGUUGCAUUACUUUGUAUAGGUGUAGUUUAAUUACUAGAUUUGUUAACUUUAUUGAUUGUUCAAUGUUUGUUUUAGGGUUUAGAAUGUUAACUUUAUUUUAGGGUUUUGAUCAAUUGAUCAAAAAAAAAAGAGAGAGCUUUGUUUUUUAUUCUCCAGUAAGUCCGUCUGUAACAAAAUUGAAUUAUUGAAUUUCAUAGGAUAGUUAUGGUAGAUCAAAGUGUUAUUAGCAUGGACUUUAAAAUGCAUACAACUAAUGCCUUAGUCAUAAAUUAGUAUGAAGACAAAAAUAUAUUACGUACUACUUUCACUAGCAAGUAACAGAUGAAGUAUAUCAAGAUUGUAUGCUAUGAUAAAGUUCCAAUCUUUAAACUUCUUCUAUUUGUUUUUUUUUUUAAUAUAAAUUUUAUGAUGAGAAUUACUACAAGUAUACUCACGCAUAACAGCUACAUUUACAUUCAUUGGUAGCACUUAGUCGGAUUCCUUAUUUCAGAGGCAACUUGUAAAAUGUAGGUUCAAUUGCGUCAACUUUUUAAGAAUAGAAUGAAGUAUAUAAUUGAGGUAAUCAGUUUCUCUGUGUAAUCAUUUAAAGCUAAUUGUCUAGGGACUUGGGACUAAGAAAGAAUUUUCUUCCCGGGCAUCAAUUUACUAUGAACAGAUGUAUAAUUUGAUUGUUUUAGGGUGCUAUAGAGAUUCCUGGGCCCCAAUAAUAAUAGGGUUGAAGGGUGAUAUAGGGAUUCCAAUCUGAGCUUGCCGUCAUCAUGAGGUAUUGAUGACUUGUUGUUGAUAUAUUGUGCCUUGUUGUUGAUGUUGUUCUUGUUGUGUUGUACUGGAGUUGUUGUUGUUGAUAUGUGGAGUUGUCUAUAAGGGAUUCAAACCAACUUAUUUGCAUAUGAUUCAAAUCAAAUCAGUCAAUUGACAACUUUUACUCUUUGUUUUUGUACACUCUUUCUUUUCACUACUAUAUCGUAAGUAGGAGCUCUUAUACUCACAGUAAUGUUAGUCUGAUAAAAAUUCACGCUGGAGAAUUUGAAUAAUGCUUAUCUUAUGAAUGAGAAAUAUUGAGCAAUAUGACAAGCAUUGGGUGUUAGAAUGUUGUUCUGUUAUUAGUUUACAAACUGUUGGUUUUGGACUUGUAAAUUGAUGACUUGUAACUAAGAUUUCUAUACCCUGGAAUUACUUCUAUUUUCAUGGAUUUCGGGGACUGGACUGGAAUUACAGUUAACAAAAUGUAUCUUAUAAUUAUGUGCUUCUUUGGAAACCAGAAGUAGUUUUAAGUUUUGUGCAUUCUUGGCUAGUGUAUAAGUUAACAACAAGUAAAGAUUCAAAAUAUGUUUGGCUCAUGAAUGCGAGAAAUUAAGCAAUAUGACCAUACUGUGAAGAGUAUUGCAUUUGCACUAAAAGUAUGGCUCAUGACUGAGUGAAAUUAAGAAACAAGACCAAACUAGUGCUUUUUUUUUCUUUCUAGACAUGUUUUUGUCGGGAACUGAAACAUUCUCUGUCAUCAUUGUCCAUGCAUUCACUAUGGUGAUGUUCUUCCCCUUCUGAAGUAUUCACUUCAGUACCAUUAUGAUCCUCUCCACUAGGAAAUUGACUUUGUGGAUGAUCAGACAUUAGUUUUUGGCCGUGUGGAAUCUUCGUUACCGUCUGUCAACGCUAAAUCAACAUUUGGCUUGCUGCAUUCAUUUUCUGCCAUGUUCUUGGAGUGGCACUACCCAAAAACAUUGACCAGUACACUUCAAUUUCAAAAACAUUGUCCAAUACACUUUUAUCAUCUAUAAGUGUCACUUAAUUAUAGUUGUUUUUAGUUGUUAAUCUUGAUUUGUUUGCAGGAGCUCAAGAGGGGUCAUGUAGUACCUCAAGAUGAGAUCUUCAAGAUUACUCACACGAGAAAGACGAAGAACGCCAAUGGUACAGACCAAUGGAUUGAACCAAGGGCCAAGUGAACCUAGAACGAAUUUCAACAACACUUUGGGGAGUUUUGUGCCACUCAGCCAAGCGGCACGCCGAUGACCCUGAAUUUCAACAACACUUUGAAUGCGAAUUUGAUUGUAGAAUGUAGUUUAUGGUUCUUUAAGUUUAUGAUGUGUAAGUGUUUGAAUGUAGUUUUCAUUUGAAUAAGUACUUUUAGGUUGAAUUUGAUUGUAAAAUGUUGUAGUUUAUGAUUGCAGAAUGUUGUAGUUUAUGAUUGUAGAAGUACUUUGAUGAUUUGGUUGAUGAAUUGGAUGUGUUGGAUGGUUGAUUAA